AGACGGAGGGCGCAAGCGUUGUUCGGAAUCACGGGGCAUAAAGAGCACGUAGGCUGUCUACUAAGUCAAAUGUGAAAGCCCUCGGCCCAACCGAGGAACUGCAUUCGAAACUGGUGGACUAGAGGACAGGAGGGGUAAGUGGAACUCCAGGUGGAACGGUGAAAUGUGUAGAUAUCCGUAGGAACACCGGUGGCGAAAGCGGCUCACUGGGUCUCUUCUGACGCUGAGGCACGAAAGCUAGGGUAGCGAACGGGAUUAGAAACCCCAGUAGUCC
rnacentral:rRNA from 1 species